rnacentral:rRNA from 1 species
AAAGAUUAAGCCAUGCAUGUCUAAGUAUAAGCACUCUUUUACUGUGAAACUGCGAAUGGCUCAUUAAAUCAGUUAUCGUUUAUUUGAUAGUACCCUACUACAUGGAUACCUGUGGUAAUUCUAGAGCUAAUACAUGCGCAAAACCCCGACUUCGGAAGGGGUGUAUUUAUUAGAUAAAAAACCAAUGCCCUUCGGGGCUUCUUGGUGAUUCAUGAUAACUUUACGGAUCGCAUGGCCUUGCGCCGGCGACGGUUCAUUCAAAUUUCUUCCCUAUCAACUUUCGAUGUUUGGGUAUUGGCCAGACAUGGUUG